rnacentral:rRNA from 1 species
GACAGAGGGUGCGACCGUUGUUCGGAAUUACUGGGCGUAAAGCGCGUGUAGGCUGUUCGGAAAGUCGGGUGUGAAAGCCCUGGGCUCAACCUAGGAAGUGCACUCGAAACUCCCGAACUCGAGUCCCGGAGAGGAAGGCGGAAUUCUCGGUGUAGAGGUGAAAUUCGUAGAUAUCGAGAGGAACAUCGGUGGCGAAGGCGGCCUUCUGGACGGUGACUGACGCUGAGGAGCGAAAGCCAGGGGAGCAAACGGG